GACGAACGCUGGCGGCGUGCUUAACACAUGCAAGUCGAACGGUAAGGCCCUUCGGGGUACACGAGUGGCGAACGGGUGAGUAACACGUGGGUGAUCUGCCCUGCACUUCGGGAUAAGCCUGGGAAACUGGGUCUAAUACCGGAUAGGACCACUGCCUGCAUGGGGGGUGGUGGAAAGCUUUUGCGGUGUGGGAUGGGCCCGCGGCCUAUCAGCUUGUUGGUGGGGUGAUGGCGUACCAAGGCGACGACGGGUAGCCGGCCUGAGAGGGUGACCGGCCACGCUGGGACUGAGAUACGGCCCAGACUCCUACGGUAGGCAGCAGUGGGGAAUAUUGCACAAUGGACGCAAGCCUGAUGCAGCGAGGCCGCGUGAGGGAUGACGGCCUUCGGGUUGUAAACCUCUUUCAGCACCGACGAAGCGCAAGUGACGGUAGGUGCAGAAGAAGGACCGGCCAACUACGUGCCAGCCGCCGCCGUAA
rnacentral:rRNA from 1 species